GAGUUUGAUUCUGGCUCAGGAUGAACGCUGGCGGCAUGCCUAACACAUGCAAGUUGAACGAGAAGUUCUGGAGGGAGUCUUCGGACGAACGAAGGAAUGGNAAGUAGCGAACGGGUGAGUAACGCGUGGGCAACCAACCUUACACAGGGGGAUAACGCAGAGAAAUUUGCGCUAAUACCGCAUAAGCGCACAGUACCGCAUGGUACGGUGUGAAAAACUCCGGUGGUGUAAGACGGGCCCGCGUCUGAUUAGUUAGUUGNUGAGGUAAAAGCUCACCAAGGCGACGAUCAGUAGCCGACCUGAGAGGGUGAUCGGCCACAUUGGGACUGAGACACGGCCCAAACUCCUACGGGAGGCAGCAGUGGGGGAUAUUGCACAAUGGAGGAAACUCUGAUGCAGCAAUGCCGCGUGAAGGAAGACGGUUUUCGGAUUGUAAACUUCUAUCAGCAGGGAAGAAAAUGACG
rnacentral:rRNA from 1 species